UCCCUGGUGGUCCAGUGGUUAGGACUCAGCACUCUUACUGCUGGGGCUCAGGUUAGAUUCCUGGUUAGGGAA